GGCCCCGCCCACGUCAUGGCGCCCGAGGAGAAUGCGGGGACCGAACUCUUGCUGCAGAGUUUCGAGCGCCGCUUCCUGGCGGCGCGCACGCUGCGCUCCUUCCCCUGGCAGGGGGGCGGCGGGCGAGCGGAGAGGCCCGCGGGGCUCGCGGGAGUCCAGGGGCAGACGGGAUGGGUCUCCGUGCUGAAACCCCCGGCGCUCCUGCCACAGCUUAGAAGCAAAGUUAAGAGACUCAUCAGAUUCUGAGCUGCUGCGGGAUAUUUUGCAGAAGACUGUGAAGCAUCCUGUGUGUGUGUGAAGCACCCGCCGUCAGUCAAGAAAGCCCGGUGCUUUCUCUCAGAACUCAUCAAAAAGUAACCUGAAGCUUUCACCGUAGACGUGCUGUAUUGCCCAGAAGCCAUCGUGUCGCUGGUCGGGAUCCUGCGGAGGCUGGCUGCCUGCUGGGAGCACCAGCAGUCUCCUGAGGUCUACGUGGCCUUUACCGUCCACAACCCAGAGACGUGCCAGCUGUUCACCACCGAGCUAGGCCGGGCUGGGAUCAUAUGGGAAGCGGAAGCUCAUCAUGACCAGAAACUGUUUCCCUAUGGAGAGCACUUGGAGAUGGCAAUGCUGAACCUCACACUGUAGGACUCACACACGACUCCAACGGGAUUGUGAGAAUCAAGUCAAUCUCAUGGGAAGAAUUUUUAUAUGGGAAAGCGGAUAAAACUUUCAUUGUACUGGAAUGUUUGGAGAAUGUUAAAUUCCAAAUCAGAAACCACAAACUGCCCUCUAAUAAGACAUCGGCUAUCUAAGCGUGUGGGUGCCCCCUUUCUGCCAGCAGUUCUGGUUCUUACGAAAAUCACCAUAUAUCAGACAUGAAAAUUCUGGCUUUGUGCAGAUAAAAAAGUGUGUAUCAAGUAUGACGUUCCCCCAAUGUGGACACACUUGGUUCCUCAGAAAGCCAAGCCCACUGCAGCUGCCACAUCCCUGGACACACUCGGUUCCUCACAAAGCCAAGCCCGCUGCAGCUGUCACAUCCCUGGACACACUCGGUUCCUCACAAAGCCAAGCCCACUGCAGCUGCCACAUCCCUGAGCCUAUGGUGCAGCAGGUGCUUUUUUCAAGACAGGGAUCAAAGUGUUAGGAACACGGCAGAAAGGUGACACCUGGAGACCAAAUGCAGGAUGAGGAGUACUGCAGAGGUCACAGGGAAGUCAGAGAACAGUAAUACGCUAACAGGGGCACGGGGCAUGAAGAACAAAAGACAGGAAGCGUUUCAGAGACUCCAAAGAAGAAAUCAGGGCCAACCACAGCUUCCCGGGUCAUUCACCAGGUGGCACCACUGCCGUCAUUUCAGCUUCUGGCCACUGGGAGGCGCUGCUCGAAAGGGUUUGCCCUGACACUCCAAGAAGCUGCGGGAAGGACAGCAGGGGCCCUGGGGUUUUAGCCUCUGGCCCAGGAGUUAUGUGUCCAUAACCAAAGGGAGCACAGUCUGCACCCAGCUCUCAUCCCAUCAGAGCUGCUGCGACUCCUGCAGGUUCUUCCGGAACUGGUUUAGCUUGCCUGCAGGAUCAGGAAAGUUUGAGAAAAGCAUCUGCAAAAUACUAAAGAGCAGAGCUUACCUCAUUGCCUGUCCCCACCCCAUCCCAGGUCACCACCUGGCUGACCCCAGGUCCCCGACCCAACAACAACCCCUCCCAAGUCCCUAACUCCCUCACUUGGACUUGAGACCCUUCACACCCCAGCAGCGCUCCGCCUCCCACUUGACAUCAUGCUUUCUGGAAACUUCCCCGUAUGUCCCACUUUCCCACACUUGGUGCCCUGGAGCACCUUCCGGCCUCUACAUGCUGUACGUUCCCCUGUGAGCACCCUCCUCUCGGCCUCUGGCCAACACAGUCCCACCCAUCUGUGGGUAACAAGGGGGAGUGGGUGUUCUUUUCAGCCUUGCUAAACUCUCUGAAUCAAGGAUCACAAACUACAGCCUGCAGGCCAAAUCCAGCCCACAGCCUGUGUUUGUAAAUAAAGCUUUAUUGGAAGAAAGCCA
ensembl:lncRNA FAM86DP family with sequence similarity 86 member D, pseudogene